GACGAACGCUGGCGGCGUGCUUAACACAUGCAAGUCGAACGGUGAAGCACCUUCCUUUUGGUGGGUGUGGAUGAGUGGCGAGCGGGUGAGUAACACGUGAGUAACCUGCCCCCUUCUUCUGGAUAACCGCAUGAAAGUGUGGCUAAUACGGGAUAUUCUGGGUCUGUCGCAUGGCGGGCCUGGGAACGAUAUUGUUUCGGUGGGGGAUGGGCUCGCGGUCUAUCAGCUUGUUGGUGGGGUGAUGGCCUACCAAGGCGGUGACGGGUAGCCGGCCUGAGAGGGUGGACGGUCACACUGGGACUGAGACACGGCCCAGACUGCUACGGGAGGCAGCAGUGGGGAAGAUGGCACAAUGGGCGCAAGCGUGAUGCAGCGACGCCGCGUGAGGGAUGGAGGCCUGCGGGUUGUAAACCUCUUUCGCCAGUGAAGCAGGCCUGUCCCUGUUGUGGGUGGGUUGACGGUAGCUGGAUAAGAAGCGCCGGCUAACUACGUG
rnacentral:rRNA from 1 species